GCCCGGCUAGCUAAGUCGGUAGAGCAUCAGACUUUUAAUCUGAGGGUCAUGGGUUCAAGUCCCAUGUUGGGCG
rnacentral:tRNA from 1 species